rnacentral:rRNA from 1 species
AAUACAGGGCAAUUGUCUUGUAAUUGGAAUGAUGGUGACGUAAAAUCUCACCAGAGUAACAAUUGGAGGGCAAGUCUGGUGCCAGCAGCCGCGGUAAUUCCAGCUCCAAUAGCGUAUAUUAAACUUGUUGCAGUUAAAAAGCUCGUAGUUGAAUUUCUGCGUUGCCCGACUCGGCUACUUGCCUUGUCUGGUUUCGCUUUUGGGGUUUUCCCCUUUUUACUUUGAGAAAAUUAGAGUGUUUCAAGCAGACUUGUGUCUUGAAUACUUCAGCAUGGAAUAAUAAAGUAGGACUUUGGUUCUAUUUUGUUGGUUUGUGAAC